GCGGCGCGCUUAUGCAUGCAGUCGAGCGAUGAGGCUCCUUCGGGGGUCAUCAGCGGCAGACGGGUGAGUACACGUAGGUACCUACCCUCGAGACGGGGAUAACGGCUGGAAACAGUCGCUAAUACCCGAUAGACUUACCAGGUCAAAGCGGUAAGAAAAGCUACGGUGCUUGAGGAGGGGCCUGCGGCCCAUCAGCUAGUUGGUAGGGUAACGGCCUACCAAGGCGAAGACGGGUAGGGGGUGUGAGAGCACGAGCCCCCACAAUGGGACUGCGACACGGCCCAUACUCCUACGGGAGGCAGCAGCAGGGAAUAUUGCACAAUGGACGGAAGUCUGAUGCAGCGACGCCGCGUGAGUGAAGACGGCCUUCGGGUUGUAAAGCUCUUUUACGGGGGACGAGGAAGGACGGUACCCUGGGAAGAAGUGUCGGCUAACUACGUGCCAGCAGCCGCGGUAAGACGUAGGACACAAGCGUUAUCCGGAGUUACUGGGCGUAAAGCGCCUGCAGGCGGCCUGGUAACUUUGGACGUGAAAGCCCCGUGCUUAACGCGGGGAGAUCGGACAAUACUGCCAAGCUAGAGUGCGUCAGAGGGGAGUGGAAUUUCCGGAGUAACGGUAAAAUGCGCAGAUAUCGGAAGGAACACCAGUGGCGAAAGCGACUCCCUGGGGCGCGACUGACGCUAAGAGGCGAAAGCUAGGGGAGCGAACAGGAUUAGAGACCCUGGUAGUCCUAGCCCUAAACGAUGGAUGCUAGGUGUGGGACGUAAAGUUCCGUGCCGGAGCCAACGCGAUAAGCAUCCCGCCUGGGGACUACGGUCGCAAGGCUAAAACUCAAACGAAUUGACGGGGACCCGCACAAGCAGCGGAGCGUGUGGUUCAAUUCGAUGCUACACGAAGAACCUUACCUGGGUUUGACAUGUACGUGGUAGAGAAGCGAAAGCGGAUUGACCCUUCGGGGAGCGUACACAGGUGCUGCAUGGCUGUCGUCAGCUCGUGCCGUGAGGUGUCGGGUUAAGUCCCGUAACGAGCGCAACCCUUAUCCUUAGUUGCACGUAUCUAGGGAGACUGCCGGCGGGAAGCCGGAGGAAGGUGGGGAUGACGUCAAGUCAGCAUGGCCCUUAUGUCCAGGGCUACACACACGCUACAAUGGCCGGUACAAAGGGCAGCAAAGUCGCGAGGCGGAGCGAAUCCCAACAAAGCCGGUCGUAGUUCGGAUUGCAGGCUGCAACUCGCCUGCAUGAAGCUGGAGUUGCUAGUAACCGCGCGUCAGCUAUAGUGCGCUGAAUACGUACCCGGGUCUUGUACACACCGCCCGUCACGUCAUGGAAGUCGGUAACGCCUGAAGGCGGUAGCAUAGCUCGGAAGAGGGGGCGCUGUCGAAGG
rnacentral:rRNA from 1 species